UACGUAGGGUGCAAGCGUUAAUCGGAAUUACUGGGCGUAAAGCGUGCGCAGGCGGUUAUGUAAGACAGUUGUGAAAUCCCCGGGCUUAACCUGGGAACUGCGUUUGAAACUACAAGGCUAGAGUGUGGCAGAGGGGGGUGGAAUUCCACGUGUAGCAGUGAAAUGACGUAGAGAUGUGGAGGAACACCGAUGGCGAAGGCAAUCCCCUGGGCCUGCACUGACGCUCAUGCACGAAAGCGUGGGGAGCAAACAGG
rnacentral:rRNA from 1 species